UACAGAGGCCUCAAGCGUUGUUCGGAAUUAUUGGGCGUAAAGAGCGUGAAGGUCGACAUGCAAGUCAAACCGUCAAAUACAGACGCUCAACGUCUGGAGGCGGCUGAUACUGCAGGACUAGAGUUCUACACGGGGGAUAGGAAUUUACGGUGUAGCAGUGAAAUGCGUAGAUAUCGUAAGGAACACCAAAGGCGAAAGCAUAUCCCUGGUGAGUUACUGACACUUUAGCGCGAAGGCUAGGGGAGCAAAUGGG
rnacentral:rRNA from 1 species